rnacentral:rRNA from 1 species
GGACUACUGGGGUUUCUAAUUCCGUUCGCUACCCUGGCUUUCGUGCCUCAGCGUCAGAUAAUGCCCAGUAAGCUGCCUACGCCAUUGGUGUUCCUUGCAAUAUCAAAGCAUUUCACCGCUCCACCGCAAGUUCCGCUUACCCCUACAUUCCUCGAGUCUGACAGUUUGGAGCGCAAUUCCUCAGUUGAGCUGAGGGAUUUCACACCCCACUUAUCAGACAGCCUACGCACCCUUUAAGCCCAGUGAUUCCGAAUAACGUUUGGACAGUUCGUCUUACCGCGGCGGCUGGCAC